rnacentral:lncRNA from 10 species
ACCCAAAAAACACACUCGUUCACUCUCGCUCACACUAACCCACACACUCACACGCACCCACAAACACCCUCACUCAUGCACUCUCACUCUUACCCACACACUCACACUCACCCACAAACACCCUCACUCAUUCUUUCUCACUCACACUCACCCACACACUCACACGCACCCACAAACACCCUCACUCAUUCUCUCACUCCACUCACCCACACACACGCACCCACAAACACCCUCACUCAUUCACUCUCACUCACACUCACCCACACACACGCACCCAGAAACACCCUCAUUCACUCUCACACACGCACCCACACUGACCCACACUCCCCCUCAUUCACCCUCACCCCUACUCCCCCUCAUUCACCCUCACUCACCCACACUCACCCUCAUUCACCCUCACUCACCCACACUCACCCUCGUUCACCUUCACUCACCUUCACCCUCACCCACACUCACAC